rnacentral:lncRNA from 1 species
UUCUGCUUGGUUGCAUCGCAUGGACGAUAAAAUAUGGUUGUGUUUUUGUACAUUUCAACAUUCCUUACUUUGUUGGGCAUGAUUAUGUUCAGUGAUUAAACAUUGUUGCAAUUAUGAAAUUUAUUUUUUGUUCACAAUGCACGUACUUAAUUCUUUUACACAUGUGAAAAACAAAAAUAAUAAGAAAAAUGCCUGUAUUAUGUUCCUUGUUUUAGUAUUACACUUAUGCAGGCAACAUGUACAUAACAUUGUCUAAACUUUUCGUGUCUAUUUAAAGAGAGGUAAAUCUCAGUUGUUUGUUCGACUCCAACUAGAAGGAUGUAUUGUGUGUCUCCCUUUAUGUUAUUUUUCAAAUACCGACAUACUUGUCACUGUAUAAUACCUUCGAUGAGACCCUUACUCAGUCUUUUUAAACUGCAACUCAAUAAUUGAAUUGUUAAUUAUGGAUUGUUGAUAUAAUACUCUUAUACAAUGUAGUGCAGUUCAUGUAUCUAAUUAUUCAUUUAUGAAACACAUUGGACAUGUUUCACCGAAAGUGUUUGCAAUCCUCAUGCGAACUCCCAUUUUGUCCCAUCUCACAUUACAAGACCGUUCACAAGAAAUGAUCACAACAUAAAGUUCAAAGAAAUAAGUUAUGAGUCAGAACGUGAUACUUCAUCCAUUUUGAUGAUUUGAUUUUCUAUGCAUUACAUUUAGUUUUGAAAAUGGUUAAGGG